rnacentral:rRNA from 1 species
AGUGAACGCUGGCGGUACGCCUAACACAUGCAAGUCGAACGGCAGCACAGUAAGAGCUUGCUCUUACGGGUGGCGAGUGGCGGACGGGUGAGGAAUACAUCGGAAUCUACUUUUUCGUGGGGGAUAACGUAGGGAAACUUACGCUAAUACCGCAUACGACCUACGGGUGAAAGCAGGGGAUCUUCGGACCUUGCGCGAUUGAAUGAGCCGAUGUCGGAUUAGCUAGUUGGCGGGGUAAAGGCCCACCAAGGCGACGAUCCGUAGCUGGUCUGAGAGGAUGAUCAGCCACACUGGAACUGAGACACGGUCCAGACUCCUACGGGAGGCAGCAGUGGGGAAUAUUGGACAAUGGGCGCAAGCCUGAUCCAGCCAUACCGCGUGGGUGAAGAAGGCCUUCGGGUUGUAAAGCCCUUUUGUUGGGAAAGAAAAGCAGCAGGUUAAUACCUCGCUGUUCUGACGGUACCCAAAGAAUAAGCACCGGCUAACUUCGUG